rnacentral:lncRNA from 1 species
CCCCAAUACUCCAUAACAUUUUCAACUCAUUUAUUAAGGCCCUUAAGAACACAUUUUGGUGCUUGCCUGGAUUUUUUGGGCAUAAAAUGACCAUAGUUAAGAACAUGUAUGGAUUUUUCAUGCACAUCACAAGAAGCAAAUUAUAUACGGUAACAAUUAUUGGCCAAUAUGAGUAAAGCGUACCAAAUUGCCCAAAAAGAUAGAAUCCAUCGCGCAUAAACCAAUUCAUACAUUUCACGGAUCUGCUAUAAAUGAUGGGUGAGUGUAAUUGAAGUGCUUUCAUGCCUC